UGAGCAAUCUGCCCUUCACAUCGGAAUAACCAUUGGAAACGAUGGCUAAUACCGAAUAUGACUUCGGACCGCAUGGUCUGAAGUGGAAAGCUCCGGCGGUGAAGGAUGAGCUCGCGGCCUAUCAGCUUGUUGGUGAGGUAAUAGCUCGCCAAGGCGAUGACGGGUAGCCGGCCUGAGAGGAUGGCCAGCCACAUUGGGACUGAGACACGGCAGA
rnacentral:rRNA from 1 species